rnacentral:rRNA from 1 species
UACGGAGGGUGCGAGCGUUGUUCGGAAUUAUUGGGCGUAAAGGGUGCGUAGGCGGUCUGACAAGUCUGAUGUGAAAUCUAUGGGCUCAACCCAUAGUCUGCAUCGGAAACUGUCGGGCUUGAGUAUGGGAGAGGUGAGUGGAACUGCGAGUGUAGAGGUGAAAUUCGUAGAUAUUCGCAAGAACACCAGUGGCGAAGGCGGCUCACUGGCCCGAUACUGACGCUGAGGCACGAAAGCGUGGGGAGCAAACAGG